rnacentral:rRNA from 1 species
UACAGAGGUCUCAAGCGUUGUUCGGAUUCAUUGGGCGUAAAGGGUGCGUAGGUGGCGCCGUAAGUCAGGUGUGAAAUUUCGGAGCUUAACUCCGAAACUGCAUUUGAUACUGCGGUGCUUGAGGACUGGAGAGGAGACUGGAAUUCACGGUGUAGCAGUGAAAUGCGUAGAUAUCGUGAGGAGACCAGUGGCGAAGGCGGGUCUCUGGACAGUUCCUGACACUGAG